ACACACACACACACACACACACACACACAGUUGUGGUGUUUGCAUAUGUGUUCUGUGUCACUGCUACACACACUUUAAGAGCUGUAGUGCUGAUCAGAGUGUGUUCAGUCCUUUCAGAGCCACUGACACGCAGCACAAUGAUGAUGGUACUGAGUCUCCUGCUGGGGACACUGGGACUCCUCGCUCACCAGUCUUUUGGGGAAAUCGUCCUGACUCAGUCUCCAGGAUCUCAGUCUGUUUCUCCAGGAGAAUCUGUUACUCUCAUCUGUAGAUCCAGUGCAUAUGUUUACAAUGACAUCCACUGGUACCUGCAGAAACCUGGAGAAGCUCCUAAACUCCUGAUCUAUAAUGAUGAUUCAUGUUACACUGGGGUUCCAGAUCGUUUCAGUGGCAGUGGAUCUAACACAGAAUUUUACCUAAAAAUCUCUGGAGUUCAGGCAGAAGAUGCAGGAGAUUAUUACUGUCAGCAGAGUGAGAGCUUUCCGUACACACAGUGUUAAAGUGUCGUACAAAAACCUCCCUGAGCUGUAGAGGAAGUGCUCUGACUCAGAAACACACACUGAUCUGAGAACAGCUGCACAGCUGCUAAAGCUGCACUCCACUGAACAUCAUCAAACAUCAUGUUUCAAAAAUAAUCCUCCUUAAAAAGCAGAAAUCUCUUCAUCAGCUGUUCGUGCUGUGAUGAGAAAUCAGCUGAUGUGUGUAAUGAUAUCUGAUGAUUUCCACCUUCUGCUAAGAGGAGCAGUGUCUACUACACACUACUGUAACACACAAUGUAGUGCAGGAUCUUUCAA